GACGAACGCUGGCGGCGUGCCUAACACAUGCAAGUCGAACGGGGUUGAGCCCUUCGGGACUCAACUUAGUGGCGAACGGGUGAGUAACGCGUGAGAAACCUGCCUUUCAGUGGGGGACAACAGUUGGAAACGACUGCUAAUACCGCAUAACGUAUUUAGGGGGCAUCCCUUGAAUACCAAAGCUUUAUGUGCUGAAAGAUGGUCUCGCGUCUGAUUAGCUAGAUGGCGGGGUAACGGCCCACCAUGGCGACGAUCAGUAGCCGGUCUGAGAGGAUGGACGGCCACAUUGGGACUGAGAUACGGCCCAGACUCCUACGGGAGGCAGCAGUGGGGAAUAUUGGGAAAUGGGGGAAACCCUGACCCAGCAACGCCGCGUGAAGGAAGAAGGCCUUCGGGUUGUAAACUUCUUUUAGUAGGGACGAAGAACGUGACGGUACCUACAGAAAAAGCAACGGCUAACUACGUGCCAGCCGCCGCCGUAACAC
rnacentral:rRNA from 1 species